GAUGAAGAACGUAGCGAAAUGCGAUAAGUAAUGUGAAUUGCAGAAUUCAGUGAAUCAUCGAAUCUUUGAACGCACAUUGCGCCCGCCAGUAUUCUGGCGGGCAUGCCUGUUCGAGCGUCAUUUCAACCAUCAAGCCCCCGGCUUGUGUUGGGGACCUGCGGCUGCCGCAGGCCCUGAAAAGCAGUGGCGGGCUCGCUGUCACACCGAGCGUAGUAGCAUACAUCUCGCUCUGGGCGUGCUGCAGGUUCCGGCCGUUAAACCACCUUCAUAACCCAAGGUUGACCUCGGAUCAGGUAGGAAGACCCGCUGAACUUAAGCAUAUCAAUAAGCGGAGGA
rnacentral:misc_RNA from 1 species